CGGGGGCGUGCAGGUACGCAAAAUAUACUCGAUUCAAUUACGCCCGGCCCGUUGGUUUGCCAAAUCCCGGAGCGUCACAAUUUAUCGUUGUAAGGUACGUAAACACUGCGCGCGAUAAACAUUCGGAAUACCGAAUUCUGUAAUUUUAUACGAAUCCGUUAUCGUUGCGCAGAGUAGGAGGCAGCUAUAGGACGAUUCCCCGACCGUCUCCCCCGGGCUCCGUCC